rnacentral:rRNA from 1 species
UCGUGGAGUGAUUUGUCUGGUUAAUUCCGAUAACGAACGAGACCUUAUUCUGCUAAAUAGGCAGGUCAACUUUUUAGUUGAUUAAUUUAUUUUAUAAAUCUGGCUUCUUAGAGAGACUAUCGGCUUCAAGCCGAAGGAAGUUUUAGGUCAAUAACA